rnacentral:miRNA from 1 species
GAAAUACCUCAAAAGUAGGUUGAGCAUGGUUUGCUGUUCUCAUGAUCCUUGUGAUGUGUGCAUGCUACCCAGAGGGAGGAAUCUUGGUCUGGUUGUAGGGGUACAGUGAUCGGGUUAUGAUGGAUUUCUCAAGUAACCACCUC